rnacentral:rRNA from 1 species
GAAAGUCCGACGGUACAGGGUGAUAGUCCCGUACACCAAAAUGCACAGGCUGUGAACUCGAAGAGUAGGGCGGGACACGUGGUAUCCUGUCUGAAUAUGGGGGGACCAUCCUCCAAGGCUAAAUACUCCUGACUGACCGAUAGUGAACCAGUACCGUGAGGGAAAGGCGAAAAGAACCCCGGCGAGGGGAGUGAAAAAGAACCUGAAACCGUGUACGUACAAGCAGUGGGAGCACCUUCGGGUGUGACUGCGUACCUUUUGUAUAAUGGGUCAGCGACUUAUAUUCUGUAGCAAGGUUAACCGUAUAGGGGAGCCGCAGGGAAACCGAGUCUUAACUGGGCGUUAAGUUGCAGGGUAUAGACCCGAAACCCGGUGAUCUAGCCAUGGGCAGGUUGAAGGUUGGGUAACACUAACUGGAGGACCGAACCGACUAAUGUUGAAAAAUUAGCGGAUGACUUGUGGCUGGGGGUGAAAGGCCAAUCAAACCGGGAGAUAGCUGGUUCUCCCCGAAAGCUAUUUAGGUAGCGCCUCGUGAAUUCAUCUUCGGGGGUAGAGCACUGUUUCGGCUAGGGGGUCAUCCCGACUUACCAACCCGAUGCAAACUACGAAUACCGAAGAAUGUUAUCACGGGAGACACACGGCGGGUGCUAACGUCCGUCGUGAAGAGGGAAACAACCCAGACCGCCAGCUAAGGUCCCAAAGUCAUGGUUAAGUGGGAAACGAUGUGGGAAGGCACAGACAGCCAGGAUGUUGGCUUAGAAGCAGCCAUCAUUUAAAGAAAGCGUAAUAGCUCACUGGUCGAGUCGGCCUGCGCGGAAGAUGUAACGGGGCUAAACCAUGCACCGAAGCUGCGGCAGCGACACUAUGUGUUGUUGGGUAGGGGAGCGUUCUGUAAGCCUGCGAAGGUGUGCUGUGAGGC